rnacentral:rRNA from 1 species
GACGAACGCUGGCGGCGUGCUUAACACAUGCAAGUCGAACGGAAAGGCCCUGCUUUUGUGGGGUGCUCGAGUGGCGAACGGGUGAGUAACACGUGAGUAACCUGCCCUUGACUUUGGGAUAACUUCAGGAAACUGGGGCUAAUACCGGAUAGGAGCUCCUGCUGCAUGGUGGGGGUUGGAAAGUUUCGGCGGAUGGGGAUGGACUCGCGGCUUAUCAGCUUGUUGGUGGGGUAGUGGCUUACCAAGGCUUUGACGGGUAGCCGGCCUGGGAGGGUGACCGGCCACAUUGGGACUGAGAUACGGCCCAGACUCCUACGGGAGGCAGCAGUGGAGAAUAUUGCACAAUGGGCGGAAGCCUGAUGCAGCAACGCCGCGUGCGGGAUGACGGCCUUCGGGUUGUAAACCGCUUUCGCCUGUGACGAAGCGUGAGUGACGGUAAUGGGUAAAGAAGCACCGGCUAACUACGUG